rnacentral:lncRNA from 1 species
GCAGCUACUCUUCCUGGGGUUUAUUAUGGAUCCCCAUUAUCUGCUGCCAAGACAGCAGCUACUCUUCCUGGGGUUUAUUAUGGAUCCCCAUUAUCUGCUGCCAAGACAGCAGCUACUCUUCCUGGGGUUUAUUAUGGAUCCCCAUUAGUUCCUCCCAAGGCAGCAGCUACUCUUCCUGGGGUUUAUUAUGGAUCCCCAUUAGUUCCUGCCAAGGCAGCAGCUACUCUUCCUAGGGUCCAAACACACCAAAGCACCCACAUUACAUAUAAAACAACAGAUUAAACAGUGAACUAUGUUUGUACUGAAUGAGCUAAAGAUAAAACUACAUCAUAUAACAUCUCUACACUACCACAUAGCCACAACACAAAAUGUUCAAUAUCCCCAUACAACAAUGUGUGCGUACUGUCUGCGUGGGUCUGUACCGUUUGUGUCUCUUCACAGUCCCCGCUGUUCCAUAAGGUGUAUUUUUACUUGCUAUUUAAAUCUGAUUCUACUGUUUGCAUCAGUUACCAGAUGUGGAAUAGAGUUCCAUGUAGUCAUGGCUCUAUGUAGCACUGUGUGCCUCACAUAGUCUCUUCUGGACUUGGGGACUGUGAAGAGACCUCUGGUGGCAUGUCUUGUGGGGUAUGCAUGGGUGUCCGAGCUGUGUGCUAGUAUUUUAAACAGCUCGGUACAUUCAGCUUGUCAACACCUCUUACAAAAACAAGUAAUGAUGAAGUCCAUCUGUCUUCCACUUUCAGCCAGGAGAGAUUGACAUGCAUAAUAUUAAUAUUAGCUCUCUGUGUACAUUUAAGUGCCAGCUUCCCUGUUCUGAGCCAAUUGCAAUUUUCCGAAGUCCCUUUUUCUGGCACCUGACCACACUACUGAACAGUUGUCUAGGUGCGACAAAACUAGGGCCUGUAGGACCUGCCGUGUUGAUAGUGUUGUUAAGAAGGCAGAGCAGAGCUUUGUUAUGGACAGACUUCUCCCCAUCUUAGUUGCUGUUGUAUCAAUAUGUUUUGACCAUGACAGUUUACAAUCCAGGGUUACUCCAAGCAGUUUAGUCACCUCAACACCUCACCUCAACACCUCAACUAUGGUAGCGUCCCUCCUGGCCAACAUCCCGGUGAAAUUGCAGAGCGCGAAAUUCAAACUACAGAAUUAUAAAUAUUUAACUUUCAUAAAAUCACAAGUGUAAUACAUCAAAAUAAAGCUUCUUGUUAAUCCAGCCGCUGUGUCAGAUUUCAAAAAGGCUUUACGGCGAAAGCACACCAUGUGAUUAUCUGAGGACAUCGCCCCGCAUACAAAAGCAUGAAAAACAUGUUUCAACCAGGCAGGUGCGCCACGAAAGUCAGAAAUAGCGAUAUAAUAAAUGCCUUACCUUUGAUGAUCUUCUGUUGGCACUCCAAAAUGUCCCAGAUACAUCACAAAUGGUCCUUUUGUUCGAUAAUGUCCUUCUUUAUAUCCAUAAAAACUCAGUUUAUCUGGCACGCUUCAGUCAAUAAUCCACCCAGUUUCCCUCCAUCAAAAUGCAUACAAAAUGAAUCCCAAACGUUACUAAUAAACUUUUCCAAACAAGUCAAACAAUGUUUAUAAUCAAACCUUAUGUAUCCUAGUACGUAAAUAAAUGAUAUAAUUUAAGACGGAGAAUCGUUAUUGUCUUUACCGGAGAAAAAUACCAAAGAACGCGCUCUCAUUCACGCGCUUGGAAACACUACAGCCAAAAUGGGAGCCACCUAGAAAAACUACAAUUUCUGGCUCAUUUUUCCAAAAACCAGCCUGAAACUCUUUAUAAAGACUGUUGACAUCUAGUGGAAGCCCUAGGAACUGCAAUCUGGGAGGAUUUCGCCUUAUAGUAAAAGUGGUAGGCUGAUUUAUUUUGGGGGGGAUGGUUUGUCCUUAGGUUUUGCCUGCCAUAUCAGUUCUGUUAUACUAACAGACAUAGUUCUAACAGUUAUAGAAACUUUAGAGUGUUUUCUAUCCAAAUCUACCAAUUAUAUGAAUAUCCUAGCUUCUGGGCCUGAGUAACAGGCAGUUUACUUUGGGCACGCUUUUCAUCCGGAUGUGAAAAUACUGCCCCCUACCCAAGAGAGGUUAAAGAACACCCUCUGCGUUCUGUUAGACAAGUAACUCUUUAUCCACAAUAUAACAGGGGGCGUAAAGCCAUAACACAAGUUUUUCCAGCAGCAGACUAUGAUCGAUAAUGUCAAAAGCUGCACUGAAGUCUAACAAGGCAGCCCCCACAAUCAUUUUAUCAUCAAUUUCUCUCAGCCAAUCAUCAGACAUUUGUUUACGUGCCGUGCUUGUUGAGUGUCCUUCCCUAUAAGCGUGUUGAAAGUCUGUUGUCAAUUUGUUUACUGUGAAAUAGCAUUGUAUCUGGUCAAACACAAUUUCUUCCAGAAGUAAGGAUUGGUAACAGGCUGAUUGGUUGGCUAUUUGAGCCAGUAAAGGGGGCUUUACUAUUCUUGGGUAGCGGAAUGACUUUAGCUUCCCUCCUGGCCUGAGGGCACACACUUUCUAGUAGGCUUAAAUUGAAGAUGUGGCAAAUAGGAGUGGCAAUAUCAUUCGCUAUUAUCCUCAGUAAUUUUUCAUCCAGAUUUUCAGAUCCUGGUGGCUUGUCAUUGUUGAUAGACAAUACAUUUCUUUCACACUGACUUACCGUAAUUCAAAAGUACAAUUCUUGUCUUUCAUAAUUUGGUCAGAUAUACUUGGAUGUGUAGUGUCAGCGUUUGUUGCUGUCAUGUCAUCCCUAAGUUUGCUUAUCUUGCCAAUGAAAAAGUCAUUAAAGCAUUUGGCAAUAUCAGUGGGUUUUGUGAUGAAUGAGCCAUCUGAUUCAAUGAAGUUGGCAUUUUCCCCCAAAAUGUCAUUUAGGGUGCUCCAAAGCUUUUUACUAUCAUUAGCUUUGUUUCAUAGUAUACUUUCUUUUUUAUUUAGUUUAGUCACAUUUCUUAAUUUUCAGUAUGUUUGCCAAUCAGUUGUGCUGCCAGACUUAUUUGCCAUACCUUUUGCCUCAUCCCUCUCAACCAUAACAUUUUUCAAUUCCUCAUCAAUCCAAGGAGAUUUAACAGUUUUUUAGUAAUUUUCUUCAUGGCUGUGUUAGUAGCUGGAAUAAGUAGUUUCAUAAAUGUGUCAAGUGCAGCGUCUGGUUGCUCCUCAUUACACACCACAGACCAGCAAAUAUUCUUUACAUCAUCAACAUAUGAAUCACUACAAAACUUAUUGUAUGACCUCUUAUUAAAAUGCAAAUCAAUUGUUAACAUUUUUGACAUGCGUUUUUCUGGAUUUUUUUGUUAUUCUGUCUCUCACUGUUCAAAUAAAC